rnacentral:rRNA from 1 species
AACGAACGCUGGCGGCAUGCCUAACACAUGCAAGUCGAACGGGAUCCUGGUUUCGGCCAGGUGAGGGUGGCGGACGGGUGAGUAACGCGUGGGAACCUGCCCAGUGGUGGGGGAGUAACUGCGGGAAACUGCAGCUAAUACCGCAUGAGCCCGAAAGGGAAAGAUUGAUCGCCAUUGGAGGGGCCCGCGUUCGAUUAGGUAGUUGGUGAGGUAACGGCUCACCAAGCCUUCGAUCGAUAGCUGGUCUGAGAGGAUGAUCAGCCACACUGGGACUGAGAUACGGCCCAGACUCCUACGGGAGGCAGCAGUGGGGAAUAUUGGACAAUGGGGCGAACCCUGAUCCAGCAAUGCCGCGUGAGUGAUGAAGGCCUUCGGUUGU